rnacentral:rRNA from 1 species
UGGCAGACGGGUGCGUAACACGUGGGUGACCUACCUCAGAGUGUGGAAUAACGGACCGAAAGGUUCGCUAAUACCGCAGUGCUCGACGAUCCUAUUCGUCGUGUAAAGCCGUAAGGCGCUUUGAGAGGGACCCGCGGCCCAUCAGGUAGUUGGUGAGGUAAUGGCCCACCAAGCCGAUGACGGGUAGCUGGUCUGAGAGGACGACCAGCCACAAUGGAACUGAGAGACGGUCCAUACUCCUACGGGAGGCAGCAGUGAGGAAUAUUGCGCAAUGGGCGAAAGCCUGACGCAGCGACGCCGCGUGGGUGACGAAGGCCCUCGGGUCGUAAAACCCUUUUAGCAGGGACGAGUGAGGACGGUACCUGUUGAAUAAGUCUCGGCGAACUACGUGCCAGCAGCCGCGGUAAAACGUAGGAGGCGAGCGUUAUCCGGAUUCACUGGGCGUAAAGCGCACGUAGGCGGUCGGGUAAGUCGGGUGUUAAAGCCCCUGGCUCAACUAGGGGAGGUCAUUCGAUACUGCUCGGCUUGAGGAUGAGAGAGGAAAGUGGAAUUCCCGGUGUAGCGGUGGAAUGCGUAGAGAUCGGGAGGAACACCAGUGGCGAAAGCGGCUUUCUGGCUCAUUCCUGACGCUGAGUGUGCGAAAGCGUGGGGAGCAAACGGGAUUAGAUACCCCGGUAGUCCACGCCCUAAACGAUGAGAGCUGGGUGUUGGUGGGAUUUCCCAUCAGUGCCGAAGCUAACGCGUUAAGCUCUCCGCCUGGGGACUACGAACGCAAGUUUAAAACUCAAGGAAUAGACGGGGGCCCGCACAAGCAGCGGAGCGUGUGGUUCAAUUCG